ACGACAGCAAGAUUCUCAGAGGGCGGAGCCAGAGAGCAGUGAUUGGUCAGACUGACUGAGAGCCAGAGAGCAGUGAUUGGUCAGACCAUAGAUACUAUAGAAGACAGCGCGCUAGCGGAUCUAGUCUGCUAUAUAUAUCUAUGGUUAGCACGUCUGGUAGCAUCUCUGGCUGCUGUUGACCUUGUUUUUGGAGUAAAACACGGUGGAAGCUGAAUUAGUGAGGAUGACUCCUGCUCCUGUCAUCUCUAAGCUCCUCACACAUCUUUACCUGCACAUGAGGAAAAUCACUCCUGUAGAAUGCAGAUGUUCAGAGGGAGAUGAUGCCACAUCUGGUCCAGCUGAUGGAAGGUCUUGAAGUUCUCUGACUGGCCUCGACUGAAGAUGGUCGUCUCACUGGAUUUAAGGUUCAGAUGCUCAGUAACAAACUCCACCAAUGAGCCAACAGGGAAGCUUUAGGUUUAUUAAAUGUUGCUAUGAAGGUUUCGAUGUUUUUCUUUGUGAAUGCAAUGUGCUCCAACUGAAACUUGAAUUAGAACUUAGAAGUAAAUCCUUCCAUCUGAAAGUAUUUAGUUGCAUUAAUAACCUCAUAACAUUCUAAUUUUUAUUCCAGUCUUGGUUGGAAAUAGAAUCUCUGUAUUGAUUCAGGUAAAAACUGAACUUCACAGAAUGUUGGAGCAAAACAACCAGAUGAA